CCAAUAGCGUAUAUUAAAGUUGUUGCAGUUAAAAAGCUCGUAGUUGAAUUUCGGGGUCAGUAGGUCGGUCAUGCCACUGGUAUGCACUGGUCUCACUGAUUCCUCCUUCCUGAUGAACCGUAAUGCCAUUAAUUUGGUGUUGCGGGGAGACUGGACUGGUACUUUGAAAAAAUUAGAGUGUUUAAAGCAGGCUAACGCUUGAAUACAUUAGCAUGGAAUACCGGAAUAGGACGUUCGAUCUUAUUUUGUUGGUUUCUAAGAUUGACGUAAUGAUUAAUAGGGAUAGUUGGGGGCAUUAGUAUUCAAUUGUCAGAGGUGAAAUUCUUAGAUUUAUUGAAGACUAACUACUGCGAAAGCAUUUGCCAAGGAUGUUUUCAUUAAUCAAGAACGAAAGUUAGGGGAUCGAAGACGAUCAGAUACCGUCGUAGUCUUAACCAUAAACUAUGCCGACUAGGGAUCGGAUGAUGUUAAUUUUUUAAUGACUCAUUCGGCGCCUUACG
rnacentral:rRNA from 1 species